rnacentral:rRNA from 1 species
UACAGAGGGUGCGAGCGUUGUUCGGAAUUACUGGGCGUAAAGCGUGCGCAGGCGGCUAUGCAAGACAGAUGUGAAAUCCCCGGGCUCAACCUGGGAAUUGCGUUGGAGACUGCAAGGCUAGAAUCUGGCAGAGGGGGGUAGAAUUCCACGUGUAGCAGUGAAAUGCGUAGAGAUGUGGAGGAACACCGAUGGCGCAAGGCAGCCCCCUGGGAUCGAAGAUUGACGCUCAUGCACGAAAGGCGUGGGGAGCAAACG